rnacentral:rRNA from 1 species
UACAGAGGGGGCAAGCGUUGUUCGGAAUUACUGGGCGUAAAGGGCGCGUAGGCGGCCCGCUAAGUCGAACGUGAAAUCCCCGAGCUCAACUCGGGAACUGCGUCCGAUACUGGCGGGCUUGAAUCCGGGAGAGGGAUGCGGAAUUCCAGGUGUAGCGGUGAAAUGCGUAGAUAUCAAGAGGAACACCUGAGGUGAAGACGGGUUGCUGGGCUGACACUGACGCUGAGGCGCGAAAGCUAGGGGAGCAAACGGG